rnacentral:rRNA from 1 species
AGAGUUUGAUCAUGGCUCAGAGUGAACGCGUGGCGGCAGGCCUAAUACAUGCAAGUCGAACGGCAGCACAGCAGAGCUUGCUCUGUGGGUGGCGAGUGGCGGACGGGUGAGGAAUACGUGGGAAUCUGCCCAGUCGUGGGGAUAACGUAGGGAAACUUACGCUAAUACCGCAUGCGCCUCGGGGAAGCCGGGACCUCGGCCUGGCGCGAUUGGAUGAGCCCACGUCGGAUUAGCUAGUUGGCGGGUAAAGGCCCACCAAGGCGACGAUCCGUAGCUGGUCUGAGAGGAUGAUCAGCCACGCUGGAACUGAGACACGGUCCAGACUCCUACGGGAGGCAGCAGUAGGGAAUAUUGGACAAUGGGCGCAAGCCUGAUCCAGCCAUGCCGCGUGAGUGAAGAAGGCCCUCGGGUUGUAAAGCUCUUUUGUCCGGAAAGAAAAGCGCCGGGUUAAUACCCUGGUGUCCUGACGGUACCGGAAGAAUAAGCACCGGCUAACUUCGUG